AUGGGGGAGGUGUCGGAGGCCUCGGAUCUACCGGGGUGCAAGCAGAUGCAUCCGGCCCUGCUGUCGUCCAGCCGGCAAGGGGCUGGCCCUUCCCCUCGACGCAGCCCGCGCAUCAGGCGGGCGUAUGACGGUGUUCGGAUGGGCUCCGUCGAGCGAGCUUCCAAGCGGAAGGCGGCGGCAGCUGAUUCUGGCUCUAGCUCGGGUGGUAGCGCCACUCGCCGAUCCAGCUCUUCAGUUGCUCGUCGCAAGAAGGCAAAGGCGGUGGCUGGGCUCCUCGAGCUGCCACUGGUGGCGACCCCAUCACCGUUGACCAGGGGAAAACUCAAGCUGCUUGCUGAGCAAUGCGACCUCAAUGCAACUGCCAUCUUCGACGAAGUCCAAGCCCGUGCUACAUCUUCUGGAGCGGUGGCCUCUUCUGCUACUUCCAGCUCCUAUGCAUCUUCAGUGUGUGUCCUCGACUACACAUAUGUGUAG
rnacentral:rRNA from 1 species